rnacentral:lncRNA from 1 species
UCGCUUACGUGGUAAUACCAAGCUGACACGUCGCCUACGUGGUAAUAUCGAGCUGAUGUGGCACGUACUUGAAAAAAUAAUAAACAAAAAAAUAAAAAAAUUCAUUAUUUUUCCUCUCCCUUCUCCAAGUCGGCCGGUGGACCGCUGCCUUCCUCCGGCGAAGCAGCGCCGAGGAAUACCACCUUCGCCUUCCUCCUUCUCGCGCCGUUCCAGACCUCACGCCGCCUCCCACAAUCACCAGAUCAGUCGCCUUCCUCUUCCGCCGCAUCGAACCCCCUCUACC